UAUACGCUGGCAUACGCGGCGGCGACGGCAGCAUCGGGGUUAUCGCAGGGUGCGCCAAAGUGUUAUUGCUACAUGUAAGUCGGACUUAGGAUUGUAACACAAGCGCCGUUUAUGGGAAUAAUGCUCGCGAUGAGGCUGUCUACGUCACUGUGGCUGGUUGCGAGUUAUUUUUCUUCGGACUCGAUCUGUCGGUUUGCGCUCCGCAUAAUCUAAAAGGCGGAACAUUUCUUUUACUUAAGCAAAUAGAAAAACGAAAAUAAUUCUUUCUUCCCAUAAUUUCCGAUGAGAAUGUUUCAUCGCAGCAGCUUUGAAGUCUUUGAAUGAAAAUCCGCAGAAACUUUUCAAUAAUCAGGGUCUGUAGUGACAUAUUUUGCAUUUCUUUAGGAGAGGAAUUUCGUUGGAACUUCAAUCGUUUCCAUUUAAAAAGAAUGAAGAGCUCGCUAACUACUGCACGGAGUUUAUAAUGAAACGCAGUCAACAAUAUAUACGAGAUAGGAGGGUGUGAAUAAUUUCACCAUUUUAUAAAACCCUAAGAGAAUAUAUGCAAGAGGCGGCCGAUUUAAAGGAGGAAAGGAAAUUUAUCAAAAUUGAAUAUGAUAAUUAUAUUCUAGAACUAUUUAAAUAUAUAUUAUAUAAAGUGGAGCUAUGGAUUAUCAUCGAAACGCUGCUGGGUUAGCUUUCUGUGUGCUUGUCUGCUGCGCCAGCUUUCUCGAUGCCCUUACCGAAUGGGUUGCCUUGAAAAUGCUAAUGGAUUGGAACCCAACUGAUAGGCAAUU